rnacentral:lncRNA from 1 species
GGAGGGCAGGAGGGCGGGUGGGUGCGGGAACACAGACCCGAUGCGCGAGCGGGAGCUGGCGCAGGGGAUCCGAACUGGCGAGUUCAAGUCACCUGGGAUGAGAACAGAAGUGUCAGCAGAGGACUGUAAGUGCUAUGUGAUUGGACGACGGUGGCCAUAGAAUUUCACCUGCCCAGCACGUAUUCUCUCAUCCUCUCCUCCUCUGCCUUCUUUGGGAGGGAGAAAUCAGAAGGAGUGGGGAUGCAGUUCAGAGAGCAGAGGAGAAGAGAAGAAAAGAAGGAAGAAGGAAGAGGACUAGGGUUGGGUGGGGGGGGAGGACACCAAUGGGAAGAGGGACAGAUCAACUCUAUACACAAAAGUAAAUCAAAACACCAAAAACAGGGGUCUAUGUAAAGAAGCCUCUUCCCGUGAAUUGCUCGUUGCAUAGCUGCAGGGAGGGUGUUUAGGGGCAUAGAGAAUGAAAACAUACCUGUAUUUUGGUGUAGGGAAAUUGUUUCUGUCAAUUCACACCGUCCACACACCACCUCCCACCCCAACCCCGCCACUACCAAAUUCCUCUAAAUAAAAAUAAUUAUGAGAUACAGGCCAACAAAAACGUCAGCGUUAGGCUGUUAUUUAGAGAGAAUUGGAAAGCGUUUGAAUGUGGCCCUGUUGUUUAAUAAACGAUAACAAUGAUUA